CCUACGGGUGACAGCAGUGGGGAAUAUUGGGCAAUGGGCGCAAGCCUGACCCAGCAACGCCGCGUGAAGGAAGAAGGCUUUCGGGUUGUAAACUUCUUUUAAGAGGGGAGAGAAGCAGACGGUACCUCUUGCAUCAGCCACGGCUAACUACGUGCCAGCAGCCGCGGUAAUACGUAGGUGGCAAGCGUUGUCCGGAUUUACUGGGUGUAAAGGGCGUGCAGCCGGGCUGAAAAGUCAGAUGUGAAAUCCCGCGGCUCAACCGCGGAACUGCAUUUGAAACUGUCAGUCUUGAGUACCGGAGAGGUCAUCGGAAUGCCUUGUGUAGCGGUGAAAUGCGUAGAUAUAAGGAAGAACACCAGUGGCGAAGGCGGAUGACUGGACGGCAACUGACGGUGAGGCGCGAAAGCGUGGGGAGCAAACAGGAUUAGAUACCCUAGUAGUC
rnacentral:rRNA from 1 species